AACUCGGCCACGGCUAAAACGUCUCUUAUAUUUUCUGAACAAUCCGUGAAUAUCGUGCCGCUGUUCAUACGUCCUAUUUCGAAAGUUGCGGGAUACACGACCGACAAACUCUGCGUUUAUUUUAGCAGCUAGGAAUAUUCUAGCAAAGACAUGGCGGAAAAGCUGCUGUUUGUGCUCGUUUUCCUUUUGGCAAGUGUGACAAUGUCUAACGGCAUUCUCAAAAACGGCCGCUCUGGUCAUCAAAACCGGAUAUAAGACAGUUUGUAGGUACAAGGCAACCUGUAUGGACCUAUACUACAACCACGAGUAGGAAGAAUUUUUUUUGUAAGGUGGACGAAAUGCGGAGUUUGACUCAUGGAUCCAUUUUCUUCUCAAGAACCUAUUUUACACUCUCUGACCGAGUUCCGAUUGUUAAAGGCUAUGAGGGAUUGUUUCCAAGGGACCAAGCAAAUUUCAUGCAACUUCGCAGAUCUAAUUUU